rfam:Caenorhabditis remanei strain PB4641 contig7.41, whole genome shotgun sequence.
UCAACGGUCCUCUUUAGGACCACUAAUACAAAUCCAAUAAUUGAG